GACGAACGCUGGCGGCGUGCCUAAUACAUGCAAGUGGGACGCAAGGGAACACACUGUGCUUGCACACCGUGUUUUCUUGAGUCGCGAACGGGUGAGUAACGCGUAGGUAACCUGCCUAUUAGCGGGGGAUAACUAUUGGAAACGAUAGCUAAUACCGCAUAAUAUUAAUUAUUGCAUGAUAAUUGAUUGAAAGAUGCAAGCGCAUCACUAGUAGAUGGACCUGCGUUGUAUUAGCUAGUUGGUAAGGUAAGAGCUUACCAAGGCGACGAUACAUAGCCGACCUGAGAGGGUGAUCGGCCACACUGGGACUGAGACACGGCCCAGACUCCUACGGGAGGCAGCAGUAGGGAAUCUUCGGCAAUGGACGAAAGUCUGACCGAGCAACGCCGCGUGAGUGAAGAAGGUUUUCGGAUCGUAAAGCUCUGUUGUAAGUCAAGAACGUGUGUGAGAGUGGAAAGUUCACACAGUGACGGUAGCUUACCAGAAAGGGACGGC
rnacentral:rRNA from 1 species